GUAAGGAAUAUUGGACAAUGGACGCAAGUCUGAUCCAACCAUGCCGCGUGAAGGAUUAAGGUCCUCUGGAUUGUAAACUUCUUUUAUAAGGGACGAAAAAAGGCUUUUCUAAGUCGUCUGACGGUACCUUAUGAAUAAGCACCGGCUAACUCCGUGCCAGCAGCCGCGGUAAUACGGAGGGUGCAAGCGUUAUCCGGAUUCACUGGGUUUAAAGGGUGCGUAGGCGGGCAGGUAAGUCAGUGGUGAAAUCCUAGAGCUUAACUCUAGAACUGCCAUUGAUACUAUCUGUCUUGAAUAUUGUGGAGGUAAGCGGAAUAUGUCAUGUAGCGGUGAAAUGCUUAGAUAUGACAUAGAACACCUAUUGCGAAGGCAGCUUACUACGCAUAUAUUGACGCUGAGGCACGAAAGCGUGGGGAUCAAACAGGAUUAGAUACCCGGGUAGUCU
rnacentral:rRNA from 1 species